rnacentral:tmRNA from 1 species
GCGAACGCCGUCGCCGGCGCAUGGCGACUACGCACGUGAACGAAGGUAGACUGGAUGCCUUGCGGACCCGGGUUCGAUUCCCGGCGCCUCCACUCAGAAGACACGGCGAGAGCCGUGUCUUUUUUUUUGCGUGUGCCCUGCGUGUGACCUGAUAAAUUUCAGCAGGGGUGGAUCGCUGCGCGGCUGGAUGUAGGCGGGGCCACUGGAAGCGGGCGCGGGCAGGUGACGCCAGGGUACGGGGCUCCACGGAGCUCCACGGCGGGCAGCUGGCCGGCGGGGCGGAUCCCGGAUCCGCAUCCGCGUACUCGCGUGCAGGCGCACGCCCUGCUGGCGCAGCCCGGAGCCGAGCGAGCUGACUUGGCUGGUUCUAUGCACGGGACGGGUACCCGAGCGCGAAGGGCCGGUCCCUCCGCACCCCCUUAGCGCAUCAGAGUACUCCGGCAGACU